GGAGAGUGCCUUUCGGGGAAUGUUAAAACAGGGGGGGCACGGUUGUCGUCAGCUCGUGUCGGGAGAUGUUGGGUUAAGUCCCGCAACGAGCGCAACCCACUUCGUUAGUUGGUUUUAUAGGUACACUUAUUAAGACCUCUCUGACGAGACUGCCGGUGAUAAACCGGAGGAAGGCGUGGACGACGUCAAAUCAUCAUGCCCCUUAUUGUCUGGGCUACACACGUGUUACAAUGGGUAGGACAGCGAGCAGCGAGACAGCGAUGUUAAGCAAAUCUCUAAAACCUAUCCUCAGUUCGGAUUGCACUCUGCAACUCGAGUGCAUGAAGUCGGAAUCGCUAAUAAACGCAUAUCAGCACGCUGCUUUGAAUACGUUCCCGGGUCUGAUACACACCGA
rnacentral:rRNA from 1 species